rnacentral:piRNA from 1 species
UAUUCCUAGCUUUAUUACUAA